GAGCCCUAAGACGCUCCCAGACAAAGGAGGAUGGGUCACGCACCCGCCUCGCUAAAGCGAAUUCUCCAGCUUGGAUCCCAUUAAAGAGCCCAGUCGGAUUCCCCGAGGUGCUCAGGCCUGGUUGUGUUACUGCCACAAAAGUUCACUCCACAAGACUGAAGAAUCUUCCAGCAGAACUUCAGUCAUCUUCCUGGAACAAAGGGUCUUGGGCUACUGAGGAGAACCUAAAAUUGGACAUCAUGCAGUAAGAAGAUGAGAGAAGAAAGACAUGAGUCUGAGUGUAACUGGUGGAGCUGCCACUCUAACUCUUGAUUCCUACCUCCCUCCUUCUUUUAUUCAAGAGAAAAUUAAACUAUAAGUUGUUUAA